UAGGGAGGUGAUGGGUAAGGGCUUGAGUUUUGGGGUUGCACAGCUUGUGGGGACCCCACCUCAUUUCCUAGCUAGGCAGACCUGGCCCAGUGUCUGACCUUUCCCAUCUGUAAAUUAGGGGUGCAAAUAGCAUCCACCUCCGGGGUGUGGUGAAGGUGGAGCCAGUACCCAGCCAGUCCAGCUCUUUUUUGUUAGGAUUGCCCCACUGCGGCCACACCCUUCCAUCUGCCCGCUCCUGUUCCCGCAGGUAGACUCAGCCUGUGGGAUUCUGGCCUGGCUUCCCGGCAGCAAGCAGGAGCUUCAGAUGCUCAUUCCCGCCGCGGUCGGCUGUGGCGGCGACUCAUACCCGUUUCCGCUCGAAUGAUGCCAGCUGUCCUGCUGCGCCACCUUCCUCUGUCCUCGCAUCCGCUGAUGGGAUUUCCGGUCGCUUCCACUUUGUGGCUCUUUUGAAGAAUGCCGCUAGGAACAUUCACACGCAGGUUUUUGGUGUGGACGUUCUUGGCCAUAAAAUAUGGCUUUUGGAAAAAUAAAGCUGAGACUUGGAGUUCACGGUGGGGGCUCCCCCAUCUGUGAACAGAAGCAGAAGUUUGGAACUGCCUUCUUUACUGCUCGAGAGGGAAAACUUGAGUGAAAACCAGGAUGCUGGCGAAUGUUGAGUAGCUAAGCUGCACAGGAAAUACCACUUGAUGACCUGCGAUCUGGGGAAGCCGCGCCAGGGCUCUGCGAAGCUGCGGACGAGGGAGGCGUCAGUGUGGGGGCUGCAGCUCAGCUCCGGGGGGGACGCGCCUUUCUCCACGGGACCUGGGGCUCAGGUGCUCACGAGGCUGGGGCGCUGCAGGCCACCCGCAGGGGAAACUGAGGCCCUCCAUUUUGUGGGGCUGGAAGACCUUUCCUUCCAAAAGCAGGUGUAGGCGGGAGCACCUGUGCAGUCCCUCUGUUCAGAUCCUCACCCACUUUUAAAUCAGGAAACAGCAGAUGAAAUGCACAGUGUGAAGGACAAGGAUUCUGCUGAGAGAAUUGCUCCGAGGGUUGCUCAAGUGAUCAUGGGAAAUAAUGCAUCAAACCAUUCUUUAGAUGCAGCUCAGGUGUGCCUUUUCUUCGCCUGUGCCCAUCCACCUGAGAUGGACCAUAACCAUAAAAGUCAGAAGGCACUGACCCUUCAGGACGUGACAGGGUUAAAAGAUGCUGGAGGGAAAGUCUGUCAUUGACUUUUAUUCACUUCCUUUCUCCAUUCUGCCAUUUGGAAGAAGGCUGGAGUGCAAUGGCGCGAUCUCGGCUCACUGCAACUUCCGCCUCCCAGGUUCAAGUGAAUCUCCUGCCUCAGCCUUCCGAGUAGCUGGGACUACAGGCACGUGCCACCAUGCCCAGCUAAUUUUUGUAUUUUUAGUAGAGAUGGGGUUUCACCAUGUUGGCCAGGAUGGUCUUGAUCUCUUGACCUCAUGAUCUGCCCGCCUCAGCCUCCUAGAGUGCUGAGAUUACAGGCGUGAGCCCCCGUGCCUGGCCUUGAAUGGGAUUAGUGUUUUAAAGAGGCCUGAGAGAGACUCCUGGCCACUUUUGCCUUAUGAGGACACAGUGGAAAGGUCCCAUCCCUGAACCAGGAAAUGGGCACUUACCAGACACUGAAUCUGCCUGCAGCUUGACCUUGAACUUCCCAGCCUCCAGAACUCUGAGGAAUAAAUUUCUGUUAUGUGAUAAGCCAUUCAGUCUGUGGUAUUUUGUUAUACCAGCCCAAACGGACUAAGACACAGAACAUAGCCUGUGCCUCUUCCAGUUUCUUCAGGAUCCUUCUGGGCUCAGAGAAUGGAGCUAAGAGGAAGAUUCUACCAUUAGGGCUGGUCUUCACCUGUCUCUUAAGACUGAUGGGCUCCCCAUUUGAAUGACAUUGAUCAACCCGACAUUAACCCAUUGGGUAUGGCUGGGGCAGCUCCUCUUAUCUGUGAGGUGGGAACCAGGUUGGUAAUGUUGCAUCCUGUUAGCCAGGUUCCUAGUUCAGUUUAGCUGUUGUGCAGGUCAAGGACUCUUAAGGAUUGAAUUGCAUCCCUUCAAAAGAUAUUGAAGUCCUAACCCCCAGAAUCGGUGACUGUGACCUUAUUUGGAAAUGGGUCUUUGCAGACACAAUCAAGUUAAGAUGAGGUCAUAUUGGAUUAAAGUGGUGUGUAAUUCAAUAGAUGAUCUCUUUAAUGAAAAGGGAAAUUUGUACUGAGAAACACAGAGGGAAAUGCUAUGUGAAGAUGGAGGCAGAGAUUGGAGUGAUUUGGAGCAAUGUGUAUGUCUGCAAGCCAAGGAACACCAAGUAUUGCCAGCCAUCACCAGAGCUGGAGGAGGGGCCUGGAACAGAUUCCCACUAGAGCCCCCAAAAGGAUCCAACCCUGCUGACACUUUGACUUUGGAGUUGUGGCCUUCAGAACUGUGAGAGAAUUAAUUUGUGUUGUUUUGAGCCACUCAGAGUGUGGUAUUUUGUUAUAGAAGUCCUUGGAUACUAAUAAAGACAUUAAUAGCC
rnacentral:lncRNA from 1 species